UUUCCGUAGGUGAACCUGCGGAAGGAUCAUUAACAAAAAAAUAAAAUCCACCUUAGGAAAAACCCAGAGAAGAAAUUCAAAGGGUUUUUCCUUAAGCAAACAGUGAACUUUGUUAAAGUUUCUAACGAGAUAUACCAAUCUAAAUUUAUUUAGAAAGGUAUUUUCUUUUUGAAAACAAACUUGUUUAAUUUAUUUUGUCUUAUCCUUCUUAAACUAAAUUGGUUUUAGGACCUUUUUGGAAAGAAUAUUUAAAUCAAAAGUAACAACUUUUAACAACGGAUAUCUUGGCUCUU
rnacentral:misc_RNA from 1 species